AUGAGGUUGUUCAAUGUAGAUCCAGCGUUCGGAGAGAGUUUCGAUGAAGGCUUCGAUGAAAAUGUUGGUCAGCAGCCGGUUGCCUCAACAGAUGAUGAAAAUGAUGGUCAACAGCCAGUUGCAUCAGAUGAGGAUUUUGACGAGGUUCCAAAUGAUGAUGGUCAACAGCCGCAUGAUUUUGACGAUGAUCCAAAAUAUCCUCCAAAUAAUGAUUCAAGUGAGGCUCCAAAUGGUGAUCCGAGUGAGGCUCCAAAUAGUGAUCAUGGUGAUCCAAGUGAGACUCCAAAUGGUGAUCAUGGUGAUCCAAGUGAGGCUCCAAAUGAUGAUCCAAGUGAGAUCCCGGUCUCGUCAACCAUCAACACUUGA
rnacentral:rRNA from 1 species